rnacentral:lncRNA from 1 species
GUUUCUAUGGGGUUCGAUGUUGGAGAUUGGGGUUUUUGUAUGGAAUAUCAGCUCCCUGUUCAAGCCAGCUGAAACUUCUGGAGGUGGAGAUGGUGGUUAUAUGCAUUUCUGCCACAUUUGCUGGUGUUUGGCUGGAGUAAGAUGGGCCCCAACCACUGUUAAGUGACAGCUUUGGAGACAAUAUGCAAUAAACAACCAUGAGGAAAAGACCUACAUCAGUGAAGAGAAAGGCUGACUUAUAACUGUUCCACACAUACAAAAUACUAGUAGAAAUGGCUGAGCCUUCAAUUACAAGUAAUAUUAACAUUGGCAAUUAGUGGUUAUUAGAAGGAAUUAUAGAUGAAAAAAAAACAAAGCAAUGUAUAAAGCCUGAAGCAUUAUGAAAUAAGACUUCAUAAAUUUUGGAAUGGUGUGAAAAGCCACUUAAAUUUUGAGAUUUACCAAAU